GACUGCUAAUACCGAAUGUGCCGAAAGGUGAAAGAUUUAUCGUCAAUAGAUUGGCUCGCGUCAGAUUAGGUAGUAGGUGAGGUAAAGGCUCACCUAGCCUGCGAUCUGUACUUGGUCUGAGAGGAUGGCCAGGCACACUGGAACUGAGACACGGUCCAGACUCCUACGGGAGGCAGCAGUGGGGAAUUUUCCGCAAUGGGCGAAAGCCUGACGGAGCAAUACCGCGUGAGGGAGGACGGCUUUUGGGUUGUAAACCUCUUUUAUCAGGGAAGAAUCGAUGACGGUACCUGAUGAAUCAGCAUCGGCUAACUCCGUGCCAGCAGCCGCGGUAAUACGGAGGAUGCAAGCGUUAUCCGGAAUUAUUGGGCGUAAAGCGUCCGUAGGUGGCUUAUCAAGUCUGCUGUUAAAGCGUGCGGCUUAACCGCAUAAGGGCAGUGGAAACUGAUGAGCUAGAGUGCGAUAGGGGUAACAGGAAUUCCCAGUGUAGCGGUGAAAUGCGUAGAUAUUGGGAAGAACACCAGCGGCGAAAGCGUGUUACUGGGUCUGCACUGACACUGAGGGACGAAAGCUAGGGGAGCGAAAGGGAUUAGAUACCCCUGUAGUCCUAGCCGUAAACGAUGACAACUAGGCGUGGUUCGUAUCGACCCGAGCCGUGCCGUAGCCAACGCGUUAAGUUGUCCGCCUGGGGAGUACGCACGCAAGUGUGAAACUCAAAGGAAUUGACGGGGGCCCGCACAAGCGGUGGAGUAUGUGGUUUAAUUCGAUGCAACGCGAAGAACCUUACCAAGGCUUGACAUCCUCGGAACCUCCUUGAAAGGGGAGGGUGCCUUCGGGAGCCGAGAGACAGGUGGUGCAUGGCUGUCGUCAGCUCGUGUCGUGAGAUGUUGGGUUAAGUCCCGCAACGAGCGCAACCCACGUUUUUAGUUGCCAGCAUUCAGUUGGGCACUCUAGAGAGACUGCCGGUGACAAACCGGAGGAAGGUGUGGAUGACGUCAAGUCAGCAUGCCCCUUACGCCUUGGGCUACACACGUACUACAAUGCGAUGGACAAAGAGCAGCAAGUCAGCGAUGACAAGCCAAUCUCAUAAACCAUUGCUCAGUUCAGAUUGCAGGCUGCAACUCGCCUGCAUGAAGGCGGAAUCGCUAGUAAUCGCAGGUCAGCAUACUGCGGUGAAUACGUUCCCGGGCCUUGUACACACCGCCCGUCACACCAUGGGAGUUGGUCACGCCCGAAGUCGUUACUCUAACCCGCAAGGAAGAGGA
rnacentral:rRNA from 1 species